AUUGAACGCUGGCGGCAGGCUUAACACAUGCAAGUCGAGCGGGCGAGGUUGCUUCGGUAACUGAGCUAGCGGCGGACGGGUGAGUAAUGCUUAGGAAUCUGCCUAUUAGUGGGGGACAACAUUCCGAAAGGAAUGCUAAUACCGCAUACGCCCUACGGGGGAAAGCAGGGGAUCUUCGGACCUUGCGCUAAUAGAUGAGCCUAAGUCAGAUUAGCUAGUUGGUGGGGUAAAGGCCUACCAAGGCGACGAUCUGUAGCGGGUCUGAGAGGAUGAUCCGCCACACUGGGACUGAGACACGGCCCAGACUCCUACGGGAGGCAGCAGUGGGGAAUAUUGGACAAUGGGCGCAAGCCUGAUCCAGCCAUGCCGCGUGUGUGAAGAAGGCCUUUUGGUUGUAAAGCACUUUAAGCGAGGAGGAGGCUACUUGGAUUAAUACUCUAGGAUAGUGGACGUUACUCGCAGAAUAAGCACCGGCUAACUCUGUGCCAGCAGCCGCGGUAACAC
rnacentral:rRNA from 1 species